rnacentral:sRNA from 1 species
CUGAACUCAACCACCAACCAAAAGAUGCAGUAGUUAAUUUCAUCAUAUCCACAAAAUCCACUUUU